rnacentral:lncRNA from 1 species
AGAAGAGGAACCUGCUGCAGGCGCCGGCGCGGGCGGCGAGGACGACCUGUUUUUCUGACCCAGCCCGGAAGCGCUGGUGCAGGUGCUACCGGAUCACCCUAACAACCCUCUGGGACCUGUGGCCAUGUGUUCACAACAGCAGCCAUUACAGGUGUUUCCUGAACUCUUGUCGCGAGCCUCUGUCGGCUCCAUCUCAUCGAUCCUCCCAGCAACCCACAAGGAAGCUUCACAGAGAGGCAGAUGCCACACAGGCCACCCACCCAGAUGCAGAGCCAGAUUCCCUGCGUGGACUGGACGGGAGUUUCCCAGCUGGAGUUCUCUCGGCCAAGCUGCCUGUGACAUGGGGUUGGAGGUGCUCCAGAGAGUCAUGGCCACCCCUGGAGGAAGUGACUUGUGGCUGACUGCUCAAGGGGAAGUCCUGUGGCAGUGGAGUCGUCAGCAUUAAUUCAAAUAAGCCCCAGCCGGAGUUCUGCCUCAUGCCACACGUGGGUCCAUUCCCGCGGAGUCUGGACUCUGGGUUAAGAGAGAUCUCUCCCUGCACACAAUCUGCUUUCGUGUUCCUGAUGGAUUGAAUCAAGAGUGAAUGAGCUCCUACUUCGCGAAAGCAAAACAAACUAAACGCAUCAACCACGACCGCAGAGCCCCCAUCUCUCCCAGGAGGGUGAGCCCAUGUUGUGUUUUCAUUUGUCAGAAAUCUAUCUUAGGAAGCCAUUCCUGAGAUCUGUUCUAAUUUAGGCCAUUUUUAAAAAAAAUAAUGCAGUUGAUUCUUUUCCCGUGAUCUUUCUUUUCUCCAUGACUUAAAUUUCCCCAGGAACUAUUCAAAUGCCGCAUCUGGGGUUUUGUUUUUGUUUUUUGAUGAAGUCAUGACUUUCUUUAAACAGUAAUUAUUAAACAAACCAAAGGGAAA